rnacentral:rRNA from 1 species
CCUACGGGAGGCAGCAGUGGGGAAUAUUGGGCAAUGGGCGCAAGCCUGACCCAGCAACGCCGCGUGAAGGAAGAAUGCUCUCGGGUUGUAAACUUCUUUUCUCAGGGACGUGGAAAGUGACGGUACCUGCGGAAUAAGCCACGGCUAACUACGUGCCAGCAGCCGCGGUAAUACGUAGGUGGCAAGCGUUAUCCGGAUUUAUUGGGUGUAAAGGGCGUGUAGGCGGGAGCGCAAGUCAGAUGUGAAAACUCAGGGCUCAACCCUGAGACUGCAUUUGAAACUGUGUUUCUUGAGUGCUGGAGAGGCAAUCGGAAUUCCGUGUGUAGCGGUGAAAUGCGUAGAUAUACGGAGGAACACCAGUGGCGAAGGCAGAUUGCUAGACAGUAACUGACACUGAGGCGCGAAAGCGUGGGGAGCAAACAGGAUUAGAUACCCUUGUAGUC